rnacentral:rRNA from 1 species
UACGAAGGGGGCUAGCGUUGUUCGGAAUUACUGGGCGUAAAGGGCGCGUAGGCGGACAUCUAAGUCAGGGGUGAAAUCCCAGGGCUCAACCCUGGAAUUGCCUUUGAUACUGGACGUCUCGAGUUCGGGAGAGGUGAGUGGAAUUCCGAGUGUAGAGGUGAAAUUCGUAGAUAUUCGGAGGAACACCAGAAGCGAAGGCGGCUCACUGGCCCGAUACUGACGCUGAGGCGCGAAAGCGUGGGGAGCAAACAGG